CGCGGGGAGGGAGAGGUGUUUCCGCGGCUGGAGGUUGGGAAGUGCGUGUUAAGGGAGCGUGUGGGAGUGGCGGGAAUAGCGGGAAAGGCAAAGGCAGCCGGUCUAACCGCACAGCUGAGCAAAGCCCCUGCCUCCAACGCCUCCCCUGAGGGCAGCCCAGGGUGAGCGAUCCCCUGGAGGGGAGGCGCCUCACAGCGCCCGAGAGUGGCUUGUGACGUGGAGGAUCCAGCGGGCAUACGAGCAGUGCAAAACCACACGUUAAACUUCAAGGAUCUGUGGGACGAAUAAUGCAAAAUACGUGUUAAACUUCAAAGAUUUGUUGGAUUGCCCCUCCAGCCACCACUACCCCCGUUUUCGGAAGCGCUGUGUAAAAGCUGCUAAAUCGCCCCUUAACUCCGCAGUGGUCACUUGGGAAAACCCAGGACCUCGGAUGCGGAGCUAAAUUAGGACCGCAGGUGGUAUAUAUUCAAGGUGCCAAAUGUUCAAGGGACUGCUGCUGUUUGGAAGGAGGCAAAUGCAGAUUUUAGUCAAAGGCACGAUUGUGUGUGCUGGAAGAAACCCCAUGGAGUAAGAGAUGAUCAUUGAAGGGAAAGGCUGUUUUUUGGAUCCAGAAGCAUCUGUGACCAGCAGUUUGGAUGAGGAGCAGAAGCAUUAGUGUGAAGGAUGAAAGAUCAUUUAAAAUAGGAAUAAGAUACUUCUUCAAUUCCAGGCACAGACUAUUGGGCAGGAAUGGGACACCCAUAGUGUGCAUUUUGUUGCUGAUGCUGCUGAAUCCCAGCUCUUCAAGGU